UACGUAGGGUGCGAGCGUUGUCCGGAAUUGUUGGGCGUAAAGAGCUCGUAGGCGGCUUGUCGCGUCGGAUGUGAAAGCCCGGGGCUUAACCCCGGGUCUGCAUUCGAUACGGGCAGGCUAGAGUUCGGUAGGGGAGAUCGGAAUUCCUGGUGUAGCGGUGAAAUGCGCAGAUAUCAGGAGGAACACCGGUGGCGAAGGCGGAUCUCUGGGCCGAUACUGACGCUGAGGAGCGAAAGCGUGGGGAGCGAACAGG
rnacentral:rRNA from 1 species